rnacentral:rRNA from 1 species
UACGUAGGGUGCGAGCGUUGUUCGGAGUUACUGGGCGUAAAGGGCGCGCAGGCGGCUUGGCAAGUCGAGUGUGAAAUCCCUUGGCUUAACUAAGGAAUGGCGCUCGAAACUACCUCGCUAGAGGACGGGAGGGGGAAGUGGAACUCUCGGUGUAGGGGUGAAAUCUGUAGAUAUCGAGAGGAACACCGGUGGCGAAGGCGGCUUCCUGGCCCGUAACUGACGCUGAGGCGCGAAAGCGUGGGGAGCAAACAGG